rnacentral:rRNA from 1 species
GACGAACGCUGGCGGCGUGCUUAACACAUGCAAGUCGAACGGAAAGGCCCUGCUUUUGUGGGGUGCUCGAGUGGCGAACGGGUGAGUAACACGUGAGUAACCUGCCCUUGACUUUGGGAUAACUUCAGGAAACUGGGGCUAAUACCGGAUAGGAGCUCCUGCUGCAUGGUGGGGGUUGGAAAGUUUCGGCGGUUGGGGAUGGACUCGCGGCUUAUCAGCUUGUUGGUGGGGUAGUGGCUUACCAAGGCUUUGACGGGUAGCCGGCCUGAGAGGGUGACCGGCCACAUUGGGACUGAGAUACGGCCCAGACUCCUACGGGAGGCAGCAGUGGGGAAUAUUGCACAAUGGGCGGAAGCCUGAUGCAGCAACGCCGCGUGCGAGAUGACGGCCUUCGGGUGGUAAACCGCUUUCGCCUGUGACGAAGCGUGAGUGACGGUAAUGGGUAAAGAAGCACCGGCUAACUACGU